GGGAGGCCGGGAGGGGUCCCUGGGCGGGGAGUUGCUGCGCAUCUGUUGUGUGUGUGCGUCUGUCUGUCUGUUCAGGUCUGUUUUAGGCUGUGUCUGUCUGUCUGUCUGGGUCUGUUUCAGGCUGUGUCUGUCUGUCUGUCCGGGUCUGUUUCAGGCUGUGUCUGUCUGUCUGUCUGGGUCUGUUUCAGGCUGUUUCUGUCUGUCUGUCCGGAUCUGUUUCAGGCUGUGUCUGGGUCUGUUUCAGGCUGUCUGUCUGUCUGUCUGGGUCUGUUUCAGGCUGUAUGUGUGUCUGCUCUUUGCUUCUGCUCCUGGCUCUGUGUGUAUUUCCCGGGUCCUGUGGCCCUCUUUG
rnacentral:lncRNA from 1 species